CUCCUACGGGGCGCAGCAGUGGGGAAUAUUGCGCAAUGGGCGAAAGCCCGACGCAGCGACGCCGCGUGCGGGAUGAAGGUCUUCGGAUCGUAAACCUCUGUCAGCAGGGAAGAACGGUCACUGUGCUAAUCAGCAGUGAAUUGACGGUACCCGCAAAGGAAGCACCGGCUAACUCCGUGUCAGCAGCCGCGGUAAUACGGAGGGUGCGCGCGCUAAUCGGAAUUACUGGGCGUAAAGCGCUCGUAGACGGUCUGUCA
rnacentral:rRNA from 1 species